rnacentral:rRNA from 1 species
GUCUUUUUGAGAAUAAUUUAAAGUCUAACCUGCCCACUGAAUUUUUUAAAGGGCCGCGGUAUAUUGACUGUGCAAAGGUAGCAUAAUCAUUAGUCUUUUAAUUGGAGGCUUGUAUGAAUGGUUGGAUGAGGUAUAAACUGUCUCUAAAUAAUAAAAAAUAGAAUUUAAUUUUUAAGUUAAAAAGCUUAAAUUUAAUUAAAAGACGAGAAGACCCUAUAGAUCUUUAUAUUAUUACUUAUUUAAUUAAUUUAUAGAUAUUUCUAUUUUUUAUAGGUAAUAUUAUUUUAUUGGGGUGAUAAAAAAAUUUAAAAAACUUUUAUUAAUUAUUUACAUUAAUUAAUGAAUAAUUGAUCCAUUAAUAAUGAUUAUAAGAUUAAGUUACCUUAGGGAUAACAGCGUAAUUUUUUUAGAGAGUUCUUAUCGAUAAAAAAGAUUGCGACCUCGAUGUUGAAUUAAAGGUUAAUUUUAGGUGUAGAAGUUUAAAAUUUUGGUCUGUUCGACCAUUAAAUC